rnacentral:rRNA from 1 species
UACUCGAGUGGCGAACGGGUGAGUAACACGUGGGUGAUCUGCCCUGCACUCUGGGAUAAGCCUGGGAAACUGGGUCUAAUACCGGAUAGGACCAUGCUUUAGUGUGUGUGGUGGAAAGUUUUUUCGGUGUAGGAUGAGCCCGCGGCCUAUCAGCUUGUUGGUGGGGUAAUGGUCUACCAAGGCGGCGACGGGUAGCCGGACUGAGAGGUUGGUCGGCCACAUUGGGACUGAGAUACGGCCCAG